rnacentral:rRNA from 1 species
UACGUAGGGUGCGAGCGUUGUCCGGAAUUAUUGGGCGUAAAGAGCUCGUAGGCGGUCUGUCGCGUCGAUCGUGAAAAACUUGGGGCUUAACCCUGAGCUUGCGGUCGAUACGGGCAUGACUGGAGUUCGGCAGGGGAGACUGGAAUCCUGUGUAGCGGUGAAAUGCGCAGAUAUCAGGAGGAACACGUGGCGAAGGCGGGUCUCUGGGCCGAAACUGACGCUGAGGAGCGAAAGCGUGGGAGCAAACAGG